rnacentral:rRNA from 1 species
UACGAAGGGGGCUAGCGUUGCUCGGAAUCACUGGGCGUAAAGGGUGCGUAGGCGGGUCUUUAAGUCAGGGGUGAAAUCCUGGAGCUCAACUCCAGAACUGCCUUUGAUACUGAAGAUCUUGAGUCCGGGAGAGGUGAGUGGAACUGCGAGUGUAGAGGUGAAAUUCGUAGAUAUUCGCAAGAACACCAGUGGCGAAGGCGGCUCACUGGCCCGGUACUGACGCUGAGGCACGAAAUCGUGGGGAGCAAACAGG